rnacentral:tRNA from 1 species
GCCGGCCGGAAUAGCUCAGUUGGUAGAGCAGAGGACUGAAAAUCCUCGUGUCAC